GACGGAGGAUGCAAGCGUUAUCCGGAAUGAUUGGGCGUAAAGCGUCCGCAGGUGGCAGUUCAAGUCUGCUGUCAAAGACCGGGGCUUAACUUCGGAAAGGCAGUGGAAACUGAACAGCUAGAGUAUGGUAGGGGCAGAGGGAAUUCCUGGUGUAGCGGUGAAAUGCGUAGAGAUCAGGAGGAACACCGAUGGCGAAGGCAGCUCGCUGGGACGGUACUGACGCUGAGGCGCGAAAGCGUGGGGAGCAAACAGG
rnacentral:rRNA from 1 species